UACGGAGGGUGCAAGCGUUAUCCGGAUUCACUGGGUUUAAAGGGUGCGUAGGCGGGCUAUUAAGUCAGUGGUGAAAUCCCGGGGCUCAACCUCGGAACUGCCAUUGAUACUAUUAGCCUUGAGUUAUGUUGAGGUUGGCGGAAUAUAACAUAUAGCGGUGAAAUGCUUAGAUAUGUUAUGGAACACCGAUUGCGAAGGCAGCUGGCUAAACAUAUAUUGACGCUGAUGCACGAAAGUGUGGGUAGCGAACAGG
rnacentral:rRNA from 1 species